rnacentral:rRNA from 1 species
UGCGUAGGCGGCAUUAUAAGUCAGAGGUGAAAGCCCACAGCUCAACUGUGGAAUUGCCUUUGAUACUGUAGAGCUUGAAUCAGGUUGAGGUCGGCGGAAUGUGACAUGUAGCGGUGAAAUGCAUAGAUAUGUCAUAGAACACCAAUUGCGAAGGCAGCUGGCUAGACCUGUAUUGACGCUGAGGCACGAAAGCGUGGGGAGCGAACAGGAUUAGAUACCCUGGUAGUCC